rnacentral:lncRNA from 1 species
UUUUUCAUUUGGGACAACAAUAGGGAUGACAGAGAAAAUGUUGGAGUGAGAGAUGAAAGAGAAAAGGUUGAGAGGUGAGUAAGGGUUUGGGGGUUUCUUUUUUUUUUUUUAGUUUUGAGAAUGAAAAUUAUUUAAAUAUCCUUGACCUUAAAACUUAGAAUCCAUGAUAAAUGAGGGUAUUUUUGUCUACUAUAAUCCAGUACACAUUGUUAAAACGUACCAACUGAAAAACAGACGUACGCGUGUUAACAA